CACUUCAGGAUGCGACAGCAUCAAUCUCCUAAUCAUGGGUAAUUUCGCCCAGUACCCAGCUAAUUCCUUAUCCAAAUGAGCCAUAUUAUAAACAAUCUCAAUCCCAUGAAUCCUACAAUAGUCGAUCUUAUUCUUUAUCGCUUUUAAUAAGUAAUGAUCCCCAAUCGGGUUAUCACAGGGGUUAGGAGGCGACCCGGUCAAAAGCAAAAUCCUAGGCUUCCCAUUCACAAAAUUAGGGAACUCGAGGUUUUGGCUAAGCCAUACCUUGCGUUCCUCGUCCCUUAGAGAGUUUGGGGCCUAACGUGUAAGUGACAUUGGAGUUGAUCUCGGCCUCGGGCGGCUCAUCCGGGUCGGUAGGGUCGUUGUCGGAGCGGAUCUCGGCCAGAAUCCGGUUAGUCUCCUCGAUGAGGUUCUGGUUGAUAGCUUCCUCCUCAGAGCUGGUGAGAUUGCCAAUGCCGAUGGUGCCACGGAGGACGAGGAUGGUGACGAAGCCACAGAGGAUAGUGAUCUUGAUGUUAUUGAAGGUUUUGUGAAUCUGCCUGCCGCGCGGCAUGGUUGCACGGCCUCCUCUGCCGUUGGCUGUCGUGGAAGGUAGGCCACCGCUUGCUCUCUUCUGGGGAGUGAAGUUCUCAAUUCCCAUAUUAAAGUUAACUCUCUCGGAUUGUAGACUCAGAAGCGGCAAUUAGAGAGAGAUCCAAAUUCUCUCUCUUUUGGGUGUAUAGUUUUCUAGUGUGUGGAUCUGAAAGGCAUUUAAUAUAAUAAUAUAAAGUUCUAUAUUCUCUUAGCUCUGAGAGCUCUUUGUAGGGAGGGGGGAAGCGGAAGACUAGGCGGCGGUUACGGUGGCGUUGGUGUUGGACGCGUUGGUCCUGUUUUGGUAGCGGUGACAAUGGAAGAGUUCAAAUCAGGGACUGCGCUGGGACGACGUACGUCCAACUACUGCGUCUGCUUGUCC
rnacentral:misc_RNA from 1 species